GACGAACGCUGGCGGCGUGCUUAACACAUGCAAGUCGAACGGUAAGGCCCUUUCGUUGGUACUCGAGUGACGAACGGGUGAGUAACAAGUGCGUAACUUGCCCACCACUUACGGAGAACGCUAGCAAACUGGCGCGGAUACUGGAUAUGUGCUACUUCUGCAUGGCUGGGGGGGGUAAGAUCCGGCGGUUGUGGAUGGACUCGCGGCCUAUCAGCUUGUUGGUGGGGUAGGGGCCUGCCUACGCGGCGGCGGGUAGCCGGCCUGAGAGGGGGAGCGGCCACAUUGGGGCUGAGAUACGGCCCCGGCUCCUACGGGAGGCAAGAAGGGGGAAAAAUGGACAAUGGGCGCGAGCCUGGUGCAGCAACGGCGCGUGCGGGAUGACGGGCUUCGGGUUGUAAACCGGUUUCAGCAGGGACGGAACUUUUUGUGACGGUACCUGCAGAAGAAGCACCGGCUAACUACGUG
rnacentral:rRNA from 1 species